rnacentral:tRNA from 3 species
GGACAGUUGGGUGAGCUGGCUGAAACCACCUCCCUGCUAAGGAGACGUGCUGGUAACGGCACCGAGGGUUCAAAUCCCUCACUGUCCGCCA